rnacentral:rRNA from 1 species
UACAGAGGUCUCAAGCGUUGUUCGGAUUCAUUGGGCGUAAAGGGUGCGUAGGCGGCGCGGUAAGUCGGGUGUGAAAUCUCGGAGCUUAACUCCGGAACUGCAUUCGAUACUGCCGUGCUUGAGGACUGGAGAGGAGACUGGAAUUUACGGUGUAGCGGUGAAAUGCGUAGAUAUCAGGAAGAACACCUAUGGCGAAGGCAGCUCUCUGGGACGGUACUGACGCUGAGACGCGAAAGCGUGGGGGAGCGAACAGG